AACGAACGCUGGCGGCAGGCCUAACACAUGCAAGUCGAACGGACGUAGCAAUACGUUAGUGGCGCACGGGAGAGUAACGCGUGGGAACCUACCUUUUGGUUUGGGAUAACAUCGGGAAACUGGUGCUAAUACCGGAUAAGCCCUUCAGGGGAAAGAUUUAUUGCUGAAAGAUGGGCCCGCGUUGGAUUAGCUAGUUGGUGAGGUAAUGGCUCACCAAGGCAACGAUCCGUAACUGGUCUGAGAGGAUGAUCAGUCACACUGGAACUGAGACACGGCCCAGACUCCUACGGGAGGCAGCAGUGGGGAAUAUUGGACAAUGGGGGAAACCCUGAUCCAGCCAUGCCGCGUGAAUGAUGAGGGCCUUCGGGUUGUAAAGUUCUUUUGGUGGGGACGAUGAUGACGGUACCCACAGAAUAAGCUCCGGCUAACUUCGUGCCAGCAGCCGCGGUAAAAC
rnacentral:rRNA from 1 species